rnacentral:rRNA from 1 species
UACAGGGGGUGCAAACGUUGCUCGGAAUCAUUGGGCGUAAAGCGCACGUAGGCGGUUCGUUAUGUCGGAUGUGAAAGCCCUUGGCUUAACCGAGGAAGUGCAUCCGAAACUGGCGAGCUAGAGUACUAAAGAGGAUCGCGGAAUUCCUGGUGUAGCAGUGAAAUGCGUAGAUAUCAGGAGGAACACCGAUGGCGAAGGCAGGUCUCUGGGCUGACACUGACGCUCAUGCACGAAAGCGUGGGGAGCAAACAGG